AGUCUGUGAUGUCUUCCCUGCAGGGUCUCCCUCUCGGGGAAAGGGGAACUGAAUAAUGAUUUGAAAACUUGCUCAGCAGCAUCAAGCCCGCUUGACUGGGUUAGAAAGAAAAAACCAAAACAAAACAAGCUGUAACAUGCACACCUAGUGCCCAGAACUUGGUUUUAAAUACCAUUCUCCAAUAAAAGGAACCAGCGCUCCUUGGAGGGAAGAUUGAUUCUAGGACUGGGGCAAGGAAUACACAAGAGGAGCUUGGAGCAUCUUGUAGAGCCAGAAAUGACUUCCCUGAAGUGACCAGUGACCGCAGUCGUGGCAGGAUUAUGCAGAACUGGAGUGGGCUGAAUGAUUGGAAAGACAGCCUGUCUGCUGGUUACCUAAAAUAACAUCGUUGGUGGAUAUCAGCAAAUCACACAUGGUCGAGAUGGGGAGACUGACAGUCAGCCCCUGGCAAGGUUUCCCUGUGACUUGGGGUUUGAGAGUCUCUGGAGGCUGUGGGAAGACAGAAGCAGAUACUGACUCAGUUCCUGCCCAGAACAAUAGUUGAGCGUAUGUGUGUGCAUAGGUGUCUGUGUGUAUUUGGUGUCCAGAUAUGCACUGUAUGUGUAUAUGUACAUUUAUGUGUGGUCUGUGUGUGUGUGCUGGGAGUAGUAUAAGUGUGGAGGGUGGUGUGUAUAUUUCUGCCCUGUGUGCCACGACUGUGGUGUGUAGGUGUGGUUGUGUGUGUAUUUGCCUCUGUGUGUGUGUGUGUUAUGAAGGUGCUGAGGCAAACAUUCUGCAUGAGACUGAGAAGAUGGUGACCAGGAGAGAAAAGAAUGGAGGCGACUCUCUCUUAGCCAAGCCCUUGAAGUGCAUUGGACAUGUUCAUCCCAGGGGGCCGAGUGAACAGGAGACUGACUGGGCCACCGAGCAACUGAUAGCACCUAGCGAUGGUCCCACUUGGUUGGGAAGGCUCCUCGCCUCUGCAGGGAGAAGACUACCAACUGCUCUGGAUUGAUGACACCGUUUGGGCGUAAAAUGGGCAGAAGGAGGAUGGUAGGAAGAAAAGCAGGAGAGAUGUUGCUGCCUCUUCUCAGAGGUAACACGAGCUGCCUAAACCUCUGCUGAGGAGAUAGAAGGCAAGCAUCCUGGGAGAGGAACCCCUUGGGAGAGUUUGAAGGAGACUGAGUGUCAAGGAAACCCGCAAACUACAGCAGAAAGGCAAGAAUGGAUUGUGGCUAGCUGGACACUGGGCCCUCCGCUGGCACUGUGGUCACUGCUGGCCCCAGUGCCACCAAUGCCACAGGACACUGGAUGCCAUAGCCACCAACUCCACCAGAAGGAGUUCCGAUUAUGUUGUUCAGUCUGGAUUUAGAAGUCUCAGCUAGGAAUAGUGGCAGAAGUAAUUGAGAAGCAAGAAGUAUGAGGAUGGACGGGGAGGGAGCAAACCACUUACCCGGUCAUGGACGAUUUGCCAGGAGCUGGGCCUUUAAUCAUCAGUUUUCUAUUAAUUCCUGGAACCAGACCCUCCCUGGCACAAUGGUGAGGGAGACAAGGUUGAUUUUAUGCUCAAAAAUAUUGGGACUGGAAGGGACCUUAGAAUCAUCUAGUCCAAUUGUUUUCAAGUGUUUUGAAAGCAGUGAAAUCCAUGCUUUAAAGGAAAUCUUCGCAAAAGCCCAAAUUCUAAAAGGAAAUCAAACAGGAGGCGCUCUGGUUAAAGUGAGGUUGGGGGCCCAGAGUAGUUUGAGAAUCACUGAGUCCAAACCCUGUGACACAGGUGAGGGAACUGAGGUGUAAACAUGACGCUGACUUGUCCAAGGUCACAUAGCUGUUUAGUGGCAGAGCCAGCUCCCCAGUCCAACCCAGCCCCAGUGCAGCAGCCUCUCUGGGAGAGCAGGCUCCUUGGUUCCUUCCAGCUCAGCACCCCCUGCUCUUGGGACUCCUCCUCCAGCCUCACGCAGGUAAAACAGAGUGAGGUGUUUCCCUCAAAAUCCUAGAAGACGUUGGAACACAAGCAGUACAUCUCUGAGAUGGCCCGCCCUCCCGCCCUCCCCAGAGUGAAACAGGGCAGGGAGAAAUAUCCCCUCCCACUGCAGGCAGCUAAGCCUCAUUGGCACCCUGUCAGCUCCGCUUCAGCAGGACGUGGUGGAAUUAGUAUAGGUGGGGUGGCCUGAGGAGGCAUAUCCAGUGGAAACAGCAGUGGUGUCUGUGUGGUCAGGGUCUCAACAGGAUGCAAAUGGCAUCUCAAACUGGGUAUCUGAGGAGAGUCUGAAGAAGGACCAUUUACAAAGGUGUGGGCAGUGUUAAGGGAAACCUACAAGGGGCGAUAAAGCAUCACAGGGCUAGCAACAGCCCUUACCUCUCCCAGAUCUGAGGGGACAAGAGAGGGAGUGGUUAGAAUAUGGGUCUCCUGGGAGGAGCUGCAGCCUUUCGUGGCAGAAUUGGCCAACUCACUGGAGGGAGGGAGGAGGGAAUAAAUACUCUGACCUCGCACUCCUCCAGCCUCUGCCUCCAGUUCCUUCCACCGGCUGGACCUGACCAGAAGCCAGGGCAAAGUAGCCUGGAUGAUGUAAUUCAUAAAGGUCAGCAUUGCAGGACACGGAGCGUGGCUAAGGAGGACAUCUGGAGGGGCAAGGAGAAUAUAUCCAAUUCAGUGUGAUCCAGUAGGAGAAGCAGUGUCCAGCAGACCUGGGCAAGAGCUGACUAUGCUUGUUUAUAAGCACACAUGAGCUACCCUGGGCACUCUCAGAAAUUCUAAUGGGGGCACAGGCACUUUGCAGGGGCAGAUGUAGGGAAGAACUUGAGAAAUAAGGUCAUGAAUGUGACCUCAUUUGUCCCUGGGAGGCCUGGGGAAACUCACAGACUCCAUUACUGAAGCCCAGCUGCUCUGAGGUUGGCGGUGGAGGGAGAAUGCCCUGGUUGCAAGGACAGGCGAGGUCCGGGAAGAUUCACGUUGCCCUUAGAGACCUCCUUACCUCCAGCACUCUUGCUACCAUGGCAACCUCAGGAGAGUGUGGUUUCCUCCUUGCCUUUCAUAUUUGCAACAGUGCAAUGCAAUUCUGAUACUAACUACCCAGAGUUAGCACAGACUCCACAGGUAAGGGCACAGUCUCCAACAAGACUGCCCUUGCUUCACACGCCCGGCACAAGUUCAGAGGUCUCCAGGCUACCCACACUUCUGACCAACUGGCUACAAACUCGGGUGUUCCCACAACCCCUCCCCACCAGGUUGAUAAUUCACUAGAAUGAUUCACAGAACUCUGGAAAGUGCUAUACUUACAAUUUCAGUUUUAUUAUAAAGGAUACAAACCAGGACCAAUCAGGACCAAUCAGGAAAAGUCUGGAAGGGUCCCAAACUUGGAACUUCUGUGUCCUCUCCACAUGGAACCCAGGGCGCACUCGACCCUCUCAGCGCAUCAAUGUGUUCACCUGCCAGGAAGUUCACCCAAGCCUCAGUGUCCAGAGUUUUUCUUGGGGUUUCAUUACAUAAGCAUGGUUAACUGAAUCCCUGGCCAUGUGAUUGAACUCAGUCUUUCUCAGUUGAACCCACCCCUCUGGACUGAUAUCACAUGGCUCAAAGCCCCAACUCUCUAAGCACAUGGUUGAUCUUUCUGACAUUGCCAGCCCCCAUCCUGAAUCUAUCUAGGACCCACCAGGAGUCACCUCAGUAGCAUAAACUCAAGUGUGUUCCUGGGGGCCCACUGUGAAUAACAAAUCCCAAGAGUUUAGAAGCUUCAUCCCAGGAAUCCAGGACAAAGACCAGAUAAAUUAUUAUACAACAAUAUCCCAUAGCAUGGCUGUCACAAGGCUGAAACAUUUAAGCUGGAUCUGACUAAAGGCUAACACUGUGAUGGCUAGAGUUUCCCUUGGAUCCCAACCUGCUGUGAUCUUAGUGACAGCCUAGUGUGCUGUGUGGAGGAUUCUGAAGCCACUUCCAGGAUUAAUUGGAAGGAGGGACAUGAUCAACUAGUCAUGACAGCCCUGGAAUAGAAGGGCAUUGGAAGGGGAGAGUGAGAGUGUGCAUGUGGGGUACUUGCUAACGCUGGGCUAAGGGAUUAAAAAAAAAAAAAGGAAAAAUCAUUUGCUGUUUGCUAACGAAGACUUGCUCAUUAGAACAUGUAAGACCCAUCCCACUUCAGCUCCUGUCCUAAUGCCAUGUAGUGGGUGCCAUGUUUAACCCUUACCACACAAGAGGUCAUGUCUUUUUAUUUCUUCUCAAAAUCUAGACUCAUGAAAGGGAGACUCAGAGAGAGAUGAGCGUGCCUUGGCUGCCCCCUGAAUUCUGGUUUUGAAACUAAGGAACCAUGUCUACCCCAUGACUGUCCUAGUGAAUACAGGCAUUUUUAGGGGAUAUCAUGUCAACUCACAUGUUGGGUUGAUAGUCAACUGAUAUGAACCAUUGGCUAUACCAAUUCUUAAAACAUGGAAACACUUCAUGCUGGUUGGUAAGUGAUGGCUGCUCCCCACUCCUGGAGAGGCCUUCUGCUAUUCUGGCUUUCCUGCCCCUCUCCUGGGACCAGGAGGGCUACAGACAGUGAUUUUCAGAGCUCAGUGCAAAACGAAAAUGCAGGACCGUUUGUUCAAAGUUUAUUAAGAAUUUCAAGAUGGCCACAGCAGAGCAUUCAGCCAAGCACAUCCCUUGACCCCACCAAUGCAGGAGGAGCACAGAGGGUGACCAAGAAAUAAAGCUAUUUUAAGACACUAACGUUGGAGGGUUGACUGUCACUGCAUCAUAACUUGGUGCAUUCUGACUAAUACGCACCAAUGCCCUACAAGUUCUUACGUAUUUUGACUGUCACCCUGCCCACGUGAUGGUCUCCUUGACACCCAAACAAGACAACCAGAGUUGUUUUCUUGGAGCCUGGCUUGACUAUUAUCAGAAACUCUCAGAAUUACACAAGGCACAACCAUAUUCCCAAACCCUAUUUUUAACAUACGAACUUUGCCAGUAUAAUGAAACCAACAUUCAGAUAAAAUAGUAAAAGUGUGUUUUUAUAAACUUGUUUUAAUACGUUACCACAAAAUAGAAGGACUUAUGUUUUCAUUGGAUACUUUUCUUAAGGGAGUGCCAAUUUCCUCUCACUGCUCCUGGAUCUGACUGAGGCAGCUCAAGAAGGAGGAAGUCGGGGAGAUCUGAUCGGUGGUUACCAGGGAAAAGGGGGGGUGGGGGGAGGGUACGGAGGGGGAAGUGGUGUACCCACAACAUGACUAACAAAAAUGUACAACUGAAAUCUCACAAGGUUGUAAUCUAUCAUAACAUUAAUAAAAAAUAAAAAAUAAAAAAAAAAAGAAGGAGGAAGUCGGGGGAAACAGUGGGUUUAACUUUUAUUGAUUUGUGUAGUUAAUCUCCUUCCUGACCGAUUGGGUGAGCAGAAGAAAAGAACAAAGAAAGGAGGAAUGCUGGCCUCCCAGCAAAGCUCCUCCACCCCCUUUCCAGCCCCUCCCUCUCCUGCUCUACCCCUCGGAGGAGGGGCGCUGAGGAGCGUUCCUCAGCAUCAGCGUCAGUGUUUGGAGGGACUAAAGCGUUCAGGAUUAAAAAAUAAACACAGCCGGAGGUUCAAGGCAGGAAAAAGGGGAAGGGAUGAACAAGCAGAACACAGGAAUUUAGGGCAGUGAAACUAUUCUGUACGGCACUCUAAUAGUGGAUACAUGUCUGUAUACGUUUGUCAAAACCUAUAGAAUGUACCACAAAGAGUGAUCCCUAAUGUAAACCAUGGGC
ensembl:lncRNA